CCUACGGGAGGCUGCAGUGGGGAAUAUUGGACAAUGGGCGAAAGCCUGAUCCAGCCAUGCCGCGUGUGUGAAGAAGGCCUUCGGGUUGUAAAGCACUUUCAGUGGGGAAGAAAGCCUUGGGGCUAAUACCCUCGAGGAAGGACAUCACCCACAGAAGAAGCACCGGCUAACUCCGUGCCAGCAGCCGCGGUAAUACGGAGGGUGCGAGCGUUAAUCGGAAUUACUGGGCGUAAAGCGCGCGUAGGCGGUCUGAUAAGCCGGUUGUGAAAGCCCCGGGCUCAACCUGGGAACGGCAUCCGGAACUGUCAGGCUAGAGUGCAGGAGAGGAAGGUAGAAUUCCCGGUGUAGCGGUGAAAUGCGUAGAGAUCGGGAGGAAUACCAGUGGCGAAGGCGGCCUUCUGGACUGACACUGACGCUAAGGUGCGAAAGCGUGGGUAGCAAACAGGAUUAGAUACCCCAGUAGUC
rnacentral:rRNA from 1 species